rnacentral:rRNA from 1 species
GGACCCGCACAAGUAGUGGAGCAUGUGGUUUAAUUCGAAGAUACGCGCAGAACCUUACCAACACUUGACAUGUUCGUCGCGACUUUAAGAGAUUAAAGUUUUCGGUUCGGCCGGACGAAACACAGGUGCUGCAUGGCUGUCGUCAGCUCGUGUCGUGAGAUGUUGGGUUAAGUCCCGCAACGAGCGCAACCCUCACUUUUAGUUGCCAGCGAGUAAUGUCGGGGACUCUAAAGAAACUGCCUACGCAAGUAGAGAGGAAGGCGGGGACGACGUCAAGUCAUCACGGCCCUUACGUCCUGGGCCACACACGUGCUACAAUGGUUGGUACAGAGGGCAGCUACCGGGUGACCGGAUGCGAAUCUCUAAAGCCAAUCUCAGUUCGGAUUGGAGUCUGCAACUCGACUCCGUGAAGCUGGAAUC